UGCUGGUCUUUGGCAGCACAUAUAUUAAAUUGGAAUGAUACAGAUAUGAUUAGCAUGGCCUCUGCUCAAGGAGUGCUUUUUUAAGGAGAAAGAGGAGAAGUCUGU